rnacentral:rRNA from 1 species
GUGUAGGGUGGUGCAUAGGCAAAUCCGUGCACUGAAAGCCUGAGGCGUGAUGCGGAGUGAGCAGAGAUGCGAGCGAAGUUGUUGACCCCACACUGUCGAGAAAAGCUUCUAGUGAGAGAGCUACCGCCCGUACCGUAAACCGACACAGGUAUGCGGGGAGAGAAUCCUAAGGUGCGCGGGAGAACCCUCGUUAAGGAACUCGGCAAAAUGUACCCGUAACUUCGGGAUAAGGGUAGCCACUGUUGUGAAGUCCCAUGCGGAUGGAGCAUAGAGUGGUCGCAGAGAAGAGGCCCAAGCGACUGUUUACCAUAAACACAGGUGCCUGCUAAAGCGAAAGCUGACGUAUAGGUGCUGACACCUGCCCAGUGCCGGAAGGUUAAGGAAGGAUGUUCGGAUUAGUCCAAAGCAUUCGACUGAAGCCCCGGUGAACGGCGGCCGUAACUAUAACGGUCCUAAGGUAGCGAAAUUCCUUGUCGGGUAAGUUCCGACCCGCACGAAAGGUGUAACGAUUUGGGCACUGUCUCAACGAGGGACCCGGUGAAAUUGAAAUACCUGUGAAGAUGCAGGUUACCCGCGACUGGACAGAAAGACCCCAUGGAGCUUUACUGUAACCUGACAUUGGGUUUUGAUACAUUACGUACAGGAUAGGUGGGAGGCUUGGAAAGUUGGACGCUAGUCUGACUGGAGCCGACGUUGGGAUACCACCCUUGAUGUAUUGAAAUUCUAACCGCGAGAGUAACGAAAUCCGGGACAGUGUCAGGCGGGCAGUUUGACUGGGGCGGUCGCCUCCGAAAGAGUAACGGAGGCGCCCAAAGGUUCCCUCAGCGCGGCCGGAAAUCGCGCGAAGAGUGUAAAGGCAGAAGGGAGCUUGACUGCGAGUCAAACACGACGAGCAGGUACGAAAGUAGGGCUUAGUGAUCCGGUGGUACCGAGUGGAAGGGCCAUCGCUCAACGGAUAAAAGCUACCCUGGGGAUAACAGGCUAAUCUCUCCCAAGAGUCCAUAUCGACGGGGAGGUUUGGCACCUCGAUGUCGGCUCAUCACAUCCUGGGGCUGAAGUCGGUCCCAAGGGUUGGGCUGUUCGCCCAUUAAAGUGGUACGUGAGCUGGGUUCAGAACGUCGUGAGACAGUUCGGUCCCUAUCCAUCGCGGGCGCAAGAGAUUUGAAGGGGGCUGCUCCUAGUACGAGAGGACCGGAGUGGACGAACCGCUGGUGUACCAAUUAUCCCGCCAGGGGUACAGUUGGGUAGCUACGUUCGGAAAGGAUAAACGCUGAAAGCAUCUAAGCGUGAAACCAGCCUUAAGAUGAGAUCUCUCAUAGAGCAAUCUAGUAAGACACCUUAAAGAAGAUGAGGUUGAUAGGUCGGGAGUGUAAGUACAGCAAUGUAUUGAGCGGACCGAUACUAAUAUGUCGAGGGCUUGACUUA